rnacentral:rRNA from 1 species
GAUGAACGCUAGCGGCAGGCUUAAUACAUGCAGGUCGAGGGGCAGCGCAGUGUAGCAAUACAUGGGCGGCGACCGGCAAACGGGUGCGGAACAGGUACGCAACCUUCCUUUAAGUGGAGAAUAGCCCAGGGAAACUUGGAUUAAUACUUCGUAACAUUAUGAGAUGGCAUCACCCUAUAAUUAUAGCUCCGGCGCUUAAAGAUGGGCGUGCGUCGGAUUAGGUAGUUGGCGGGGUAACGGCCCACCAAGCCUGCGAUCAGUAACUGGUGUGAGAGCACGACCAGUCACACGGGCACUGAGACACGGGCCCGACUCCUACGGGAGGCAGCAGUAAGGAAUAUUGGUCAAUGGACGCAAGUCUGAACCAGCCAUGCCGCGUGGAGGAUGAAGGUCCUCUGGAUUGUAAACUUCUUUUAUUUGGGAAGAAACCCGGGAUUUCUAUUCCGGUUGACGGUACCAGAUGAAUAAGCACCGGCUAACUCCGUGCCAGCCGCCGCAGUAA